rnacentral:rRNA from 1 species
AUACGGAGGAUCCGAGCGUUAUCCGGAUUUAUUGGGUUUAAAGGGAGCGUAGGUGGAUUGUUAAGUCAGUUGUGAAAGUUUGCGGCUCAACCGUAAAAUUGCAGUUGAAACUGGCAGUCUUGAGUACAGUAGAGGUGGGCGGAAUUCGUGGUGUAGCGGUGAAAUGCUUAGAUAUCACGAAGAACUCCGAUUGCGAAGGCAGCUCCCUAGACUGUUACUGACACUGAUGCUCGAAAGUGUGGGUAUCAAACAGGAUUAGAUACCCUGGUAGUCCACACAGUAAACGAUGAAUACUCGCUGUUUGCGAUAUACAGUAAGCGGCCAAGCGAAAGCAUUAAGUAGUCCACCUGGGGAGUACGCCGGCAACGGUGAAACUCAAAUGAAUUGACGGGG